AACUGAACAGAAAUGUACGGCACUAAACUCUUUGUUCUGAGUUUAAAAGUGUUAGUUUUGAAGACCCACCCCGUGGAGGGAUGUGUGACCAUUAUC